rnacentral:rRNA from 1 species
UUUGUUGCCUAGAGUGAUGGGCUCCGAAGCUAACGCGAUAAAUCGACCGCCUGGGGAGUACGGCCGCAAGGUUAAAACUCAAAUGAAUUGACGGGGGCCCGCACAAGCGGUGGAGCAUGUGGUUUAAUUCGAUGCAACGCGAAGAACCUUACCUGGUCUUGACAUCCAUAGAAUUCUGCAGAGAUGUGGGAGUGCCUUCGGGAACUAUGAGACAGGUGCUGCAUGGCUGUCGUCAGCUCGUGUUGUGAAAUGUUGGGUUAAGUCCCGCAACGAGCGCAACCCUUAUUCUUUGUUGCCAGCGAUUUGGUCGGGAACUCAAAGGAGACUGCCGUUGAUAAAGCGGAGGAAGGUGGGGACGACGUCAAGUCAUCAUGGCCCUUACGACCAGGGCUACACACGUGCUACAAUGGCGUAUACAAAGGGAAGCGAAGGUGCGAGCUGGAGCGGAUCUCAUAAAGUACGUCUAAGUUCGGAUUGGAGUCUGCAACUCGACUCCAUGAAGUCGGAAUCGCUAGUAAUCGUAGAUCAGAAUGCUACGGUGAAUACGUUCCCGGGCCUUGUACACACCGCCCGUCACACCAUGGGAGUGGGUUGCACCAGAAGUAGAUAGCUUAACCGCGAGGGGGGCGUUUACCACGGUGUGAUUCAUGACUGGGGUGAAGUCGUAACAAGGUAACCA